ACGCUCGACACCUACGGGAGGCAGCAGUGGGGGAUAUUGCACAAUGGGGGAAACCCUGAUGCAGCGACGCCGCGUGAAGGAAGAAGGCCUUGGGUUGUAAACUUCUGUCGUACGGGACGAUAAUGACGGUACCGUACAAGAAAGCCACGGCUAACUACGUGCCAGCAGCCGGGGUAAUCUGAGCGGGCUGGCAAGGC
rnacentral:rRNA from 1 species